rnacentral:rRNA from 1 species
AGAGCUCAAAUUUAAAAUCUGGUGUGCCUCUGGUCACCCGAGUUGUAGUCUGGAGAAGUGUUUUCCGUGUUGGACCGUGUACAAGUCCCUUGGAACAGGGCGUCAUAGAGGGUGAGAAUCCCGUCUUUGACACGGACUACCAAUGCUUUGUGAUGCGCUCUCAAAGAGUCGAGUUGUUUGGGAAUGCAGCUCAAAAUGGGUGGUAAAUUUCAUCUAAAGCUAAAUAUUGGCGAGAGACCGAUA